ACGGAAGGCAGCAGUGGGGAAUAUUGCACAAUGGGCGCAAGCCUGAUGCAGCAACGCCGCGUGAGCGAAGAAGGUCUUCGGAUUGUAAAGCUCUGUCCUUGGGGACGAAGAAUUGACGGUACCCAAGGAGGAAGCCCCGGCUAACUACGUGCCAGCAGCCGCGGUAAUACGUAGGGGGCGAGCGUUAUCCGGAAUUAUUGGGCGUAAAGAGUACGUAGGUGGUUUUGUAAGCGUGAGGUGAAAGCCUGCAGCUUAACUGCAGCGAGCCUCAUGAACUGCCAGACUUGAGUGCAGGAGGGGUAAGUGGAACUCCAUGUGUAGCGGUGAAAUGCGUAGAUAUAUGGAAGAACACCGGUGGCGAAGGCGACUUACUGGACUGUAACUGACACUGAGGUACGAAAGCGUGGGGAGCAAACAGGAUUAGAUACCCUGGUA
rnacentral:rRNA from 1 species